rnacentral:rRNA from 1 species
UGCAGUCGACGCGUUGGCCCAAUUGAUUGAUGGUGCUUGCACCUGAUUGAUUUUGGUCGCYAACGAGUGGCGGACGGGUGAGUAACACGUAGGUAACCURCCCAGAAGCGGGGGACAACAUUUGGAAACAGAUGCUAAUACCGCAUAACAACGUUGUUCGCAUGAACAACGCUUAAAAGAUGGCUUCUCGCUAUCACUUCUGGAUGGACCUGCGGUGCAUUAGCUUGUUGGUGGGGUAACGGCCUACCAAGGCGAUGAUGCAUAGCCGAGUUGAGAGACUGAUCGGCCACAAUGGGACUGAGACACGGCCCAUACUCCUACGGGAGGCAGCAGUAGGGAAUCUUCCACAAUGGGCGCAAGCCUGAUGGAGCAACACCGCGUGAGUGAAGAAGGGUUUCGGCUCGUAAAGCUCUGUUGUUAAAGAAGAACACGUAUGAGAGUAACUGUUCAUACGUUGACGGUAUUUAACCAGAAAGUCACGGCUAACUACGUGCCAGCAGCCGCGGUAAUACGUAGGUGGCAAGCGUUAUCCGGAUUUAUUGGGCGUAAAGAGAGUGCAGGCGGUUUUCUAAGUCUGAUGUGAAAGCCUUCGGCUUAACCGGAGAAGUGCAUCGGAAACUGGAUAACUUGAGUGCAGAAGAGGGUAGUGGAACUCCAUGUGUAGCGGUGGAAUGCGUAGAUAUAUGGAAGAACACCAGUGGCGAAGGCGGCUACCUGGUCUGCAACUGACGCUGAGACUCGAAAGCAUGGGUAGCGAACAGGAUUAGAUACCCUGGUAGUCCAUGCCGUAAACG